rfam:Triticum urartu cultivar G1812 contig182682, whole genome shotgun sequence.
AAAGUACUCCCUCCGUCCCAAAAUUCUUGUCUUAGAUUUGUCUAGAUACAGAUGUAUCAAGUCACAUUUUAGUAUUAGAUACAUCCGUAUCUAGACAAAUCUAAGACAAGAAAUUUGGGAUAGAGGAGUAGUUG